rnacentral:rRNA from 1 species
AGAACGAACGUUAGCGGCGCGCUUAACACAUGCAAGUCGAGCGAGAAAGAGGGCAACCUCCGGUAAAGCGGCGCACGGGUGAGUAACACGUAGGUAACCUACCCCCAGGUGGUGGAUAACCUCCCGAAAGGGGGGCUAAUACAGCAUAAGACCACGCCUUCGAAAGAAGGUGAGGUCAAAGUCGGCCUCUAUUCAUAAGCUAUCGCUGAGGGAUGGGCCUGCGGGCCAUUAGCUUGUUGGUGAGGUAACGGCUCACCAAGGCUGUGAUGGCUAGCUGGUCUGAGAGGAUGACCAGCCACACUGGGACUGAGACACGGCCCAGACUCCUACGGGAGGCAGCAGUGGGGAAUAUUGCGCAAUGGGCGAAAGCCUGACGCAGCGACGCCGCGUGGGUGAUGAAGGCCUUCGGGUCGUAAAGCCCUGUCGCAGGGGAAGAAUAAGCAUCGGUAUAAUACGCCGGUGCCCUGACGGUACCCUGCAAGAAAGCACCGGCUAACUCCGUG